rnacentral:tRNA from 1 species
CAGGGUAUAGCUCAGUGGUAGAGUGUGUGCUUAGUAUGCAGAAUGUCCUAGGUUCAAUCCCCGGUACCUCAA